rnacentral:rRNA from 1 species
GACGAACGCUGGCGGCGUGCUUAACACAUGCAAGUCGAACGGAAAGGCCCUGCUUUUGUGGGGUGCUCGAGUGGCGAACGGGUGAGUAACACGUGAGUAACCUGCCCUUGACUUUGGGAUAACUUCAGGAAACUGGGGCUAAUACCGUAUAGGAGCUCCUGCUCCAUGGUGGGGGUUGGAAAUUUUCGGCGGUUGGGGAUGGACUCGCGGCUGAUCAGCUUGUUGGUGGGGUAGUGGCUUACCGAGGCUUUGACGGGUAGCCGGCCUGAGAGGGUGGACGGCCACAUUGGGACUGAGAUACGGCCCAGACUCCUACGGGAGGCAGCAGUGGGGAAUAUUGCACAAUGGGAGGAAGCUUGAUGCAGCAACGCCGCGUGCGGGAUGACGGCCUGUGGGUUGUAAACCGCUUUCGCCUGUGACGAAGCGUGAGUGACGGUAAUGGGUAAAGAAGCACCGGCUAACUACGUG